rnacentral:lncRNA from 1 species
AAAAACUCUGUAAGAGAGCAGAAAUAAGAAUCUAUGGCACAGAUGCCCUGCAGAAGGCAAGAGCUAAGCCUGAGUUUAAUCUUGGCCAGUGCUGUUGUUGGGGUAUUUUUUUUUUUUUUUUCUUUUUAGGCUUGUACCUGUGGCAUAUGGGAGUUUCCUGGCUAGGGGUGGAAUUGGAGCUGCAACUGCUGGCCUAUACCACAGCCACAGCAAUGUGGGACCGGGGAUCCGAGCCUCGUCUGCAACCUACACCACAGCUCACAGCAAUGUUGGAUUCUAAACCCACUGUGUAAGGCCAGGGAUCAAACACACAUCCUCAUGGAUACCAGUCGGGUUCAUAACCCACUGAGCCACAACAGGAACUCUUGGGAUUUUUCCUGUGGCCACAUCGGAGGCAUAUGGAAGUUCCUGGGCCAGAGAUUGAAUCUGAGCUGCAGCUGUGGCCUAUGCUAUAGCUGUGGCAAUGCUAGAUCCUUUAAACCACUGUAAUAGGCUGGAGAUCAAACCCGCUGUGCCACAGCAAUAACUCGUAGUGUUGGGGUCUUAACCCCUGUCUCCAUUACUCCCUCUCUUUCUAUUACAUCAUAUUUUCUUUGACUAUAUAUUUUACACUUUAUUAUGUCUUGGCUUUUAAAUUUUAAACUGCCAAAUAACUGCUAUUUGCUUUGUGAUGAACAUUUUAGUUUUAUUUUGCCUUCAUUAUGUUGCUAUCUAAUAUAUUACAGCAAAGUACAUAUAUUGUAAGUGUCGAGCUUGAUUAAUUUUUCCUAAAAUGAAUAUACCCAUGUGUUCAGUAUUCAGGUUGAGAAACAGAAAAAUUCCAGCAUAUAAAGAAAUCCACUUUAUUUUCCCUUGCAGCCCUUCUAUAUUCACAACAAGGGUAAUCAUAUCUUGACUUCCAACAGCAAUAAUGAGUUUUAUCAGUUCUUAGAUUUUAUGUUAAUGGAAUUCUAUUAUACGUGACUUUUUGGGUAUCUGGCUGCUUUUGUUGUAUGUUUUGUGAGAUUCAUCUUAUUGUUGCAUGUAGCUGUUGAUUGCUUUAUAGCAUUGAUUGUGUGCGACUAGACCACAACGUAUUCAGGCUACUGUUGUUAGGCUUUUGGCUAGUUUGAAUAUGGGGCUGUGAUGCAUGUGUUGUUAUUGGUCUAGUCAAUGUCUUUUGGUGAAUAAGUAUUUUAAUGUCGAACAUAUGUUUAGGAGGGGAGUUGCUGAGUUAUUUUUUAACAAAACAGUUUUAGUAGGAAUUCUCAGUCAUUGGCCCAUUCAACAAAUAUCUCUGAAGAUUUUUCAAAACAUCUAUGCCUAAAUUCUACCUUAGGAAUUUAGAUUCAAGUCUUUUGGAGUGGGGCCAAAUUUUGCUCAUUAAAACAAAAAACAGGGAGUUCUCUUGGGGCACAGCAGGUUGAAGACUGGGUGUUGUUGCUGUAGCGCUUGGGUCAUGGCUGUGGUGCAGAUUCGAUUCCUGGCCUGGGAACUUUCCAUAUGCUGUGAGCACAGCCAAAACAACAACCCCCCCCCCCAAAAAAAAAAAAAAAAAACUCCAUAGAAAUAUACUUGUGCAGCUGACGUUGAGAAUCACUGACCUUUUUUUGAAUGACAGAACAAUGUUCAUGGGUUAAGGAUCUGGUGUUUCCACAAGCUGUGGCACAGGUUGCAGAUGCAGCUCGUUCAAUCCCCUAGCCUGGGAACUUGCUUGUGCUGCAGAUGCAGCCUUAAAAAAAAAAAAAAAAAAAAAAAAUCAUUUCUCAGCUCAAGCUCCCAACAAAGACUUGCUAUUUUUUUAAAUUAACAUUUUAAAUGUUGAGAUAACUGUGGAUUCACAUGCAGUUGUAAGAGUAUCCUUAGCUUCCUCUAAUGGGAACAUCUCACUAGACAAUCGUACAAUAUUAGGAUGAGGAUAUUGACAUUGGCACAGGAAAGAUACAGAAUAUUUCCAUCACCACAAGGCUCCUGAUACUAUCCUUUUAUAGCCACAUGCACUUCCUACUGUCUCCACUCCUUCUUUAGCCCUUGGCAACCACUAAUCUGUUCUCCAUUAUUAUAAUUUUGUCAUUUCAAGAAUGGUGUGCAAAUGGAAUCAUGCAGCAUGUAAGCUUCUGAAAUUUGCUUUUUCUCUCAGCGUGAUUAUCCAGAGAGAGAGAUCCAGGGUUUUGUAUAUUAACAGUUUGUUCCUUUCUAUUGCUGAGUAUGUUUAACUCUGCAGUUGGUUUAACCAUGUACUUGAAGAACAUCUGGGUUGUUUCCACUUUGCUCUUACAAAUAAAGUCUUUUGUAAAAUUUGUGUACAGGUAUUUGUGUGAACAUAAAUGUCAUUUAUCUGGGAUCAAUGCUCAGUAAUGCAGUUGCUGGGUUGGAAAGUGAUGGCAUGUUUUUAAAAUUUUUCCAUUUUGUUACAACAUUACAGAUGCAUUGCCCUCUGAAACAUCACAUUUAAGAAGGGGACAAAUCCUUUAAAUCCCAAUGAUUAUUAAUGAAAAUGACAAAACUUUGUUUUCUCUAAACAUUGAUGAAAAGUGGCAUGUGUCUGGUUAUUCUUGUACAAGAAGGCCUGAUGUGUAGCCAAGAUGAUUGCACAUUUACUUUUUUUAUGGUCUAAAGGAGCUGUAGUAUUUUACAUUCACACUAGUUAGGCAUGAGUGAUUCGGGUUCUUCAUAUCCUUGCCAGCACUUUGUGCUGUCACUUUUUAUUUUUAGCUAUUGCGACAGGUGUGUAGUGAUAGCUCAUUGUGCUUUUAAUUUCUAGUUCCCUAAUGGCUAAUGAUAGUGAACAUCUUCUCAUGUACUUCUUGGCCAACUGUAUGUUCUUGUCAGUGAAAUAUCCAUUCUUGUCUUUUGCCCAUUUUUAAAUGGAAUUCUUGUUGAGUUCUGAGAAUUCUUUAUACAUCAAGAUAUGUUCCUUUGUCUUAUAUGUGGCUUGCAAAUACUUUUUCAUAUUACAUAGCUUUUUUUUGUUUGUUUGUUUUUGUCUUUUUAGGGCCCUGUGGCAUAUGGAGGCUCCCAGGCUAGGGGUUGAGUUAGAGCAGUAGCUCCUGGCCUAUACCCAAGCCACAGCAAUACGGGAGCCAAGCUGCAUCUGCGACCUACACCAUAGCUCGUAUCAGCGCCGGCUCCUUAACCCACUGAGGAAGGUCAGGGAUUGAACUCGUGUCCUCAUAGAUACUAGUCUGUCUUUUCAUGUUCCUGAUAAAUCUUUAACAGAGAAAAAUUUUUGAUUUUAAUGAGAUCACAUUUAUAAAGUUUUCCUUUCAUGGAUUGUGAUUUUUGUGUCAAAUUUAAAAACUCUUUACCUAUCUCUAGACUCUCAAAAUUUUCUCCUAUAUUUCUGUUGGUUUUAUAGUUCUGCAGCUUACAUUUGUCUGUAAUUAAUUUUGAGUAAUUCUUGUAAAGUUAUUAGAUUAGGUAGAGGUUUAUUUUUUGCUCUAUAGCUGCCUAGUUGCUCUAGUACUGUUGGUUGAAAAGGCUGUUUUAUUCACUGAAAUAGUUUGCAUCUUUGUAGGAUAAGUCGGGCAUAUUUGUAUGGGAUUACCUUUGAAUCUUUCUGUUUUGUUAUCUAUGUGUCAAUCCUUCUGCCAACAAUAGUCAUGAUUACUCUCUCUAUAUAUAAAAUAUCUCUUGAAAUUGAGUAAACUGAUUCCUAUUUUAUUAUUAUUUUUUUAAAUUACAGCUAUUCUAGAUUCUUUGCUUUCCCAUAUAAAUUUUCAAAUAGUUUUGCCUAUAUCUAUAAAAUUCUUGGAGUUCCUGUUAUGGCUCAGCACAUUACAAACCUGACUGAUAUCCAUGAAAAUGCAGGUUCAAUCCCUGGCCUAGCUCAGUGGGUUGAGGAUCUGGUGUAGCCUGCAGAUGUGACUUGGAUCCCACAUUGCUAUGACUGUGGUAUAGGCUGGCAGCUGCAGCUCUGAUUCAACCCCUGGCCUGGAACCUUCCAUAUGCUGCAGUUGUAACCCUAAAAAACAAAGGAAACAAACAAACAAAAAAUUUAAUUUUGAUAGGAACUGUCUUAACUCAAUUUGCAUAUCAAUUUGGGGAGAAUUGACAUCUUAAAUAUGUAGACUCCUCCAAUCCAUGAAUAUGGUAUAUCUCUUUAAUUUUUUUUUAGGUCUUUUAUUUUUUUCAUCAGCACUUGAGAGUUUAGCAUUACAAGUCCUGUUUGUAUUUUGUUAGAUUUAUAUAUAAUUACUUUAUAUUUUUUGAAUGGCUGUAAAUGAUAUUGCAUUUUAAAAUUUGGUGUGCUUUAUUCAUUGAUAGUAUAUAAAAUAAAAUUGAUUUUUGCAUCUUUACUUUAUAUCCGUGACCUUGCUAAAUUCAUUUCUUAUACUUCUGAGUGGUUUUUGGAGACUCAUUGGAAGUUUCUGCAUAGACAAUCAUGUCAUUUGCAAAUUGGGACAGUUUUCUUUCUUCCUAUCCAAUCUGUACAUCUUUUGUUUCUUGUCUUAUUGCACUGGGUAGAUCUUCUAACACUAUGUUGACUUAGAAUGGUAGAAGUGCCUUAAUCUUUGCUUUAAUCCUGUUUUCACCAUGAAGUAUGUUAGCUGUGGGUGGUCUAUAGACGCUUUUUAUAAAGUUGAGGAAAUUUCCCUGCAUUCCUGUUUCUUGAGUGUUUUAAAAUCAUGAAUGGAUGUUGAAGUUUGUCAAAUGCCUUUUCUGCAUCCAUUGGUCUGAUCUCAUGACUUUCCUGCUUUAGCCUAUUAAGAUAAAUAAAAUUGACUUUUUUUCUAACUUGAAAUCAGUCAAGUAUCCCUGAAAUAAUCUCCACUGGCAAUAGUGUUUAAAUUCUUUUGAUGUUAAAGACUAUUUAUAUUCUUUUUAUGUGCUCCUAUUUGUUAUCUUUGGUUAAGAAUUUUUGUGUCAUAUUGAUGAGAGAUAUUGACCUACAGUUUUUUGUACUGUUUGUGUGUGGUUUGGGUAUUGGGGUGAUACUGGUUUUAUAAAACAUGGGAAAUGUUUUCCUCUUCUGUUUUCUGUAACAGAUUAUAUAAUGAUGUUAAUUAUUUCACUAUAUGGUAAAGGUUUGCUGUGAACUCACCUGGGGCUAAGAUUCAUUUUUUGAGGAGUUUUAAAAUUAAUAAUUCAAUUUACUUAAUAGCUAUAGGGCUAUAAAAUUAUCUAUUUGAUACUGGGUGGGUUGUGGUAGUUUGUGUUUUUCAAGGAAUUGGUGUAUUUCAACUAAAUUGUAAAAUUUAUGUGUAGAAUUAUUCAUGAUAGUUACUUUUUUUUUUCAAUGAUUUUUAUUUUUUCCAUUAGAGUUGGUUUACAGUGUUCUGUCAAUUUUUUUUUUUUUGUCUUUUCUAGGGCUACCCCUGUGACAUAUGGAGGUUCCCAGGCUAGGGAUCCAAUCGGAGCUGUAGCCGCCGGCCUAUGCCAGAGCCACAGCAAUGAGGGAUCUGAGCCGCAUCUGAGACCUACACCACAGCUCAUGGCAAUGCCGGAUCCUUAACCCGCUGAGAGAGGCCAGGGAUUGAACCUGCAACCUCAUGGUUCCUAGUCAGAUUUGUUAACCACUGUGCCAUGACGGGAACUCCUGUUCUGUCAGUUUGCUACUGUACAGCAAAGUGAUCCAGGCACACAUACAUAAAACUUAUUCUUUUGAUGCCUACAAAGUUUGGGUUUCAUCCUAGGUUUUACUCCUGCUGUUGGUAAUUUAUCUUUUCUCUACCUCUUUUUUUUCAGUCUUGCUAGAGAUCUGUUGGGUUUUUUUUUCUUCUUUUCAAAGAACUUUCUGUUUUUUUUUUUUUUUGGUUUUUGUUUUUGUUUUUGUUUUUUUUUUGUCUUUUUAUGGCUGCACCUGCAGCAUGUGGAGGUUCCCCGUCUAGGGAUCCAAUCUGAGCUGUAGCCGCUGGCCUACACCACAACCACAGCAACAGGGGAUCUGAGCCGUGUCGUCUGCGACCUACACCACAGCUCAUGGCAAUGACAGAUCCUUAACCCACUGAUCAAGGCCAAGGAUCGAACCUGAAUCCUCAUGGAUACUAGUCGGGUUCAUUAACUGCUAAGCCAUGAUGGGAACUCCUAUUUUUUUUUCUGUUCAUUUUCCUUGAUUUCUUUUCUUAUUUCAUUCCUUGCAUGAGGUUUAUCUUGCUUUUCUUUGCUUCGUUUAUUGAUUUGAGACUUUUCCUUAUUUCUAAUGUAUGCCUUUAAUGCUGUACAUUUUCUUUCUAGAGCUGUUUUCUCUGCAUCCCACAUUUUUUUUUUUGUUUUUUUAUAGCUGCACCCAGGGAAUAUGGGGUUUCCCAGGCUAGGGGUCGAAUUGGGACUGUAGCCACUGGCCUAUACCAGAGCCAC